CUGCCUAACAUUGAUGUCCUCUGAUAUUAUCGACACUUUAUCGCACUCGUGUACCAUUCACUAUCACAUUGCAUGGGCUGUACUGCCUGACCAUAACCUUCAAACCUCGACGUUGCUGCACAAUUUACCGUCUCGAGGUGGCGUAUACGGUCAGUCGCGUGCAAACCCUGGGGUACGUGGCCGGACAGGAAGCGCAAACGGCGGGCGAAUCGAGGCCGCCAUCGUUCCUACCUGCCACGUCUUCACGUGAACAACUGCGGAAAGCGGGGCUCCGUGCACUGUCGAGGAAAGAAGCCCUGUCAGUUGGCAGGGGACGCUCGUCAGUGGCAGGACGCAGACAGCGACAGUGCAGCUGCAGCUAUGCGCAAAAUUAGGGCCUCGUCGACGGGUGCCGUCAAGACGGCGAUGUGCCUGCUCGUCAUCGUGGUGCUGUGUAAGCUCGUUCCACUCAUAAGCAAGUUCUGGUAACUGCUCACGAUGUCCUCGGAACAUGGGACAUUUCUCGGUGGCCGGCCGGCAAAAUUUUACAGAUGGACCUGUGGACCCGUCUUCUGUUCCCGAACGGUACCGAUUUCCUCUGGGAGUCGAGCACCAAGGUGGCCGACGCGCCGGAUGUGGACACCCUGAUCCCCCGCCCCCUCACCGGCGGCUUCUGCCAGCGUGGCGAGGAGUGGGCCACGCCAGACAUACUGGCCCACGCCGUGGGGAAGGGACCGGUCACCGAGCGUGCCGGCCAGAGCACCGUGUUCCGGCGGGACGGCCGCGUGAAACGGCGCCGACUGGGUCUGUACUCAGCCAGCCGCACACCCAGCGGACUCUGCUGAGAAUG